UACGUAGGGAGCGAGCGUUGUCCGGAUUUACUGGGUGUAAAGGGUGCGUAGGCGGGUCUGCAAGUCAGACGUGAAAUACCGGGGCUUAACUCCGGGGCUGCGUUUGAAACUGUAGAUCUUGAGUGAAGUAGAGGUAAGCGGAAUUCCUAGUGUAGCGGUGAAAUGCGUAGAUAUUAGGAGGAACGCCAGUGGCGAAGGCGGCUUACUGGGCUUUAACUGACGCUGAGGCACGAAAGCGUGGGGAGCAAAC
rnacentral:rRNA from 1 species